GCGCCGAAUCCAUUCCCCCUCCUUACUAGCAACCUCCUGAACCAACCCCGAGCUCUCCCAUGCCAUGUGAUCCGCCCCAUGGUCGUUGUCUUCCGCUGGCCCUUGCUCGAAUCCGAGCCUCUGAGGCGUUCCCUCCCCCUCUGAACUGCACCCUGGAGACCCUAGAGCCGCCACGAACCUCCCCGCAACUUCCCUUCCUCCGUGGGUGGCCGUGGCGUCCUGCCUCCACUACCGUCAGCGCGACCACGCCGGUUAGCUGUCGGCUCGUCCGUCGCUCCCAGCGUAGGAAGAGGCCUCGCGGUGGAGCGGCUCGCCGCCACGAGUGCACCGGUGGCCAGAGCGCCACAAGGGAUGGCCUGAGCCACCGGGACAGAGCGCCGGUGCAUUAGCCUCGCCUCCCCUAUACCUGCUACGCGAUGAGGCCACGUGGGGAAGAAGAACCUCGCUGGUGGGCUGGCGACCCCACCACUCAGUCACUGCUGAUGCGUCUAGCCGGGCCCGCGCAGUUUAAGUGGAGGCAGAUCCACCCGAAGCCGUCUCCCGUGCGGCCAAGGCGGUUUUCACCAAAUAUGCCUUCCGCGUGGCCUUCGCGCGCGCAGCCACGUACUUGGGCCGGCCCAACCGCCAUGCGACGCCUUCAACGCCACAUUUCCCUCUUGUAUAGCCCCUUUCUUCCCUUUUUCCUUUUUUCAGAAAUUUCAAAAAUACAUAAACAAUUCAUUUGGAUUCCAAUUCUGAUGAUUCAAAUUUCUACAGGUUCCUAAAAUCAUGUGCUAUCCACAUAUGUGCAAUCCACAUUUUUCCAUAGGACUUUUCUAUGGGGUUAAUAUUCAAAUACCAAUUUGAAUACUUUAAACACCACCUUGCAAAAAUCCUAGAGGAUUCAAAUCAACUCCAAAUGGAGUUAUUCCAAUUUCCAUAGAUUAUAAAAUCUUGAUCUAAUUUUAAAGCCUUAGGCAACAUUUUUAUUUGCCUUGUUUAUGUUGCAUCAAAUAAAUAACACCUAUUCCUAAUUAUCCCAUAUUGUAAAACACCUAGAAUAUUCAUAUCAACUCUAAAUUCAGUGAAACCACUUCCUAAAUGUUUCUAAAUUCAUGCUUUGUUAAAUAAGUGGCUCCACUCAUUUUUAGCAGAAUGUUUUCUCUAGACUUCUUCAAGGAUCACCUCUUCCUCCUUUCCUCCAUUCAAAAAUAUCUGAUGAUCCAAAUCUCCUAGAGCAAGCUUCAGUUGGCGAUAUAGAUGGAGUACUCAGAGUUGGACCGGAAGACCUCGAAGACCCCGGAGACCUAUUAGAACAAGGCAAGAAGCCCUUCGACCAUGUGUGAGGAAAAUGUUUUAUGCAUGACAUGUUGAUUACUUUAUUCUGAUGCAUAUAGUCAUGAUUAAUUGGUACACCCUUAUAUGGUGUUACCGAUGGCUCCACUA